rnacentral:rRNA from 1 species
GAUGAAGGGGGAGCUUGCUCCUCCGGAUUAGUGGCGAACGGGUGAGUAAUACGUGAGCAAUGUGCCCUUGACUCUGGGAUAAGCGCUGGAAACGGCGUCUAAUACCGGAUACGACCAUCGGAGGCAUCUCCUGGUGGUGGAAAGAACUUCGGUCAAGGAUCAGCUCACGGCCUAUCAGCUUGUUGGUGAGGUAACGGCUCACCAAGGCGACGACGGGUAGCCGGCCUGAGAGGGUGACCGGCCACACUGGGACUGAGACACGGCCCAGACUCCUACGGGAGGCAGCAGUGGGGAAUAUUGCACAAUGGGCGCAAGCCUGAUGCAGCAACGCCGCGUGAGGGACGAAGGCCUUCGGGUUGUAAACCUCUUUUAGCAGGGAAGAAGCGAGAGUGACGGUACCUGCAGAAAAAGCACCGGCUAACUACGUGCCAGCAGCCGCGGUAAUACGUAGGGUGCAAGCGUUGUCCGGAAUUAUUGGGCGUAAAGAGCUCGUAGGCGGUCUGUCGCGUCUGCUGUGAAAACCCGAGGCUCAACCUCGGGCUUGCAGUGGGUACGGGCAGACUAGAGUGCGGUAGGGGAGAUUGGAAUUCCUGGUGUAGCGGUGGAAUGCGCAGAUAUCAGGAGGAACACCGAUGGCGAAGGCAGAUCUCUGGGCCGUAACUGACGCUGAGGAGCGAAAGCAUGGGGAGCAAACAGGCUUAGAUACCCUGGUAGUCCAUGCCGUAAACGUUGGGAACUAGAUGUGGGGACCAUUCCACGGUCUCCGUGUCGUAGCUAACGCA